rnacentral:rRNA from 1 species
GACGAACGCUGGCGGCGCGCCUAACACAUGCAAGUCGAACGGAGCUGUUUUCUCUGAAGUUUUCGGAUGGAAGAGAGUUCAGCUUAGUGGCGAACGGGUGAGUAACACGUGAGCAACCUGCCUUUCAGUGGGGGACAACAUUUGGAGACGAAUGCUAAUACCGCAUAAGACCACAGUGUCGCAUGAGGAUGCUGUGAAAGAUGGCCUCUAUUUAUAAGCUAUCGCUAGAGGAUGGGCCUGCGUCUGAUUAGCUAGUUGGUGGGUAACGGCCUACCAAGGCGAUGAUCAGUAGCCGGUCUGAGAGGAUGAACGGCCACAUUGGGACUGAGACACGGCCCAG